rnacentral:rRNA from 1 species
GAUGAACGCUGGCGGCGUGCCUAAUACAUGCAAGUCGAGCGAACAGACGAGGAGCUUGCUCCUCUGACGUUAGCGGCGGACGGGUGAGUAACACGUGGAUAACCUACCUAUAAGACUGGGAUAACCUCGGGAAACCGGAGCUAAUACCGGAUAAUAUAUUGAACCGCAUGGUUCAAUAGGGAAAGACGGUUUUGCUGUCACUUAUAGAUGGAUCCGCACCGCAUUAGCUAGUUGGUAAGGUAACGGCUUACCAAGGCGACGAUGCGUAGCCGACCUGAGAGGGUGGUCGGCCGCACUAGAACUGAGACACGGUCCAGACUCCUACGGGAGGCAGCAGUAGGGAAUCUUCCGCACUGGGCGAAAGCCUGACAGAGCAACGCCGCGUGAGUGAUGAAGGUCUUCGGCUCGUAAAACUCUGUUAUUAGGGAAGAACAAAUGUGUAAGUAACUAUGCACGUCUUGACGGUACCUAAGCAGAAAGCCACGGCUAACUACGUG